UACGGGGGGGGCAAGCGUUGUUCGGAAUUACUGGGCGUAAAGCGUGCGCAGGCGGUUGUGUAAGACAGAUGUGAAAUCCCCGGGCUCAACCUGGGAACUGCAUUUGUGACUGCACGGCUCGAGUGCGGCAGAGGGGGAUGGAAUUCCGCGUGUAGGCAGUGAAAUGCGUAGAUAUGCGGAGGAACACCGGUGGCGAAGGCGGAUCUCUGGGCCAUUACGUGACGCUGAGGAG
rnacentral:rRNA from 1 species